rnacentral:rRNA from 1 species
AGUGAACGCCGGCGGUAGGCCUAACACAUGCAAGUCGAACGGCAGCACAGGAGAGCUUGCUCCCUGGGUGGCGAGUGGCGGAUGGGUGAGGAAUACAUCGGAAUCUACUUUUUCGUGGGGGAUAACGUAGGGAAACUUACGCUAAUACCGCAUACGACCUACGGGUGAAAGCAGGGGACCUUCGGGCCUUGCGCGAUUGAAUGAGCCGAUGUCGGAUUAGCUAGUUGGCGGGGUAAAGGCCCACCAAGGCGACGAUCCGUAGCUGGUCUGAGAGGAUGAUCAGCCACACUGGAACUGAGACACGGUCCAGACUCCUACGGGAGGCAGCAGUGGGGAAUAUUGGACAAUGGGCGCAAGCCUGAUCCAGCCAUACCGCGUGGGUGAAGAAGGCCUUCGGGUUGUAAAGCCCUUUUGUUGGGAAAGAAAUCCAGCUGGCUAAUACCCGGUUGGGAUGACGGUACCCAAAGAAUAAGCACCGGCUAACUUCGUGCCAGCCGCCGCCGUAA